rnacentral:lncRNA from 1 species
CAGCGACGGCGUCGCGUCCGCCACCGCUCGAAUCGGAUCCCGACAGUGCGGUGCGCGGCGCGCUCGGCGCACAGCGCCAGCAUUUGAUCGGACCGCCCCGGCACGCCGCGCACGCGACAAUGGUGGUCGUCGAUGCCAUCUUGGUGUUGCUCGGUCUCUCUCUCUCUCUCUCUAUUUUUCUCUUUUUUUCCGAAAUGGUUUGCACCUCUAUUAUCUGCGUGCUUUCUUCUGUGUUCUCUUUUGGUUUUUUUCUUUCCCUGGCGGCUCGCCGUGCCGGAUGGGCGCCCGUGCGUGGUCUCGCCUUGCCUCGUCGCCGCUCUUUUGUGCUGUGCCGCGCAAUUGUUUUGUGCGCGUCCGCUUUUUUUGUUUUCCUUCCUGUGCGCUGCUUCGGGCAGCCGGUUUGCGGUCGUCUUUUCGUUCCUGCGUGGCCGCCGAGGGCGUCGCAUCGUUCGCUCGUCGGGCGCCGACACGACCGGCGACGCACGCGCCGAAUGCCGUCCGUGCGUCCGUCCGCUCUGCCACCAGACCGUUUGCGCCGCAAGGGCGAUAAAAAAAAGCCGGCGGCCUCUGUGACCGACGAUGACAGGGCGCACGCAUGCGCGGACGCUGUCUCAUGGCGCAGCCGAUUGCAUAAAAAAGAAAAGAAAAAGGAGAGAUGCGAAAGGUCGCGCCUUUCGGAAUGUAUUUUUUGUUGAUGCCGACACGUCGGUCGGCCUCGGCGAUGGCAGCGCACCGUCGGCGGUCCCCCAAGGCGAUUCGUCCGCAAAGCGACAGAAAAAAAAAUGCGCGGCACCGACUGCCUAUUCCAACUUUUUUUUUCUUCUCUUAAACAACUUUUAUUGUAGCCUGGUGGGCGGUUUUUUGG